rnacentral:misc_RNA from 1 species
GAUGAAGAACGCAGCGAAAUGCGAUAAGUAAUGUGAAUUGCAGAAUUCAGUGAAUCAUCGAAUCUUUGAACGCACAUUGCGCCCGCCAGUAUUCUGGCGGGCAUGCCUGUUCGAGCGUCAUUUCAACCAUCAAGCCCUGCUUGCGUUGGGGUCCUGCGGCUGCCCGCAGGCCCUGAAAACCAGUGGCGGGCUCGCUAGUCACACCGAGCGCAGUAAUACAUCUCGCUUUGGGCGUGCGGCGGGUUCUUGCCGUUAAACACCCCCUUUUUACCAAGGUUGACCUCGGAUCAGGUAGGAAUACACGCUGAACUUAAGCAUAUCAAUAAGCGGAGGA